CCUACGGGAGGCAGCAGUAGGGAAUAUUGCUCAAUGGGGGAAACCCUGAAGCAGCAACGCCGCGUGGAGGAUGAAGGUUUUCGGAUUGUAAACUCCUUUUGGUAGAGAAGAUAAUGACGGUAUCUGACGCAUAAGCACCGGCUAACUCCGUGCCAGCAGCCGCGGUAAUACGGAGGGUGCAAGCGUUACUCGGAAUCACUGGGCGUAAAGCGCGCGUAGGCGGGAUUGCAAGUCAGAUGUGAAAUCCUAGGGCUUAACCAUAGAACUGCCUUUGAAACUGUUAUUCUAGAGUAUAGGAGAGGUAGGUGGAAUUCUUGGUGUAGGGGUAAAAUCCGUAGAGAUCAAGAGGAAUACUCAUUGCGAAGGCGACCUGCUAGAACAUAACUGACGCUGAUGCGCGAAAGCGUGGGGAGCAAACAGGAUUAGAUACCCGGGUAGUC
rnacentral:rRNA from 1 species